AUUGAACGCUGGCGGCAUGCCUUACACAUGCAAGUCGAACGGUAGAGGGGGCAACCCCUUGAGAGUGGCGAACGGGUGAGUAAUGCAUCGGAACGUGCCCAGUUGUGGGGGAUAACGUAGCGAAAGCUACGCUAAUACCGCAUACGACCUGAGGGUGAAAGCGGGGGACUCGAAAGAGCCUCGCGCGAUUGGAGCGGCCGAUGUCAGAUUAGCUAGUUGGUGGGGUAAAGGCCCACCAAGGCGACGAUCUGUAGCUGGUCUGAGAGGACGACCGGCCACACUGGGACUGAGACACGGCCCAGACUCCUACGGGAGGCAGCAGUGGGGAAUUUUGGACAAUGGACGAAAGUCUGAUCCAGCCAUGCCGCGUGCGGGAAGAAGGCCUUCGGGUUGUAAACCGCUUUUGUCAGGGAAGAAAUCUUCUGGGUUAAUACCUCGGGAGGAUGACAGUACCUGAAGAAUAAGCACCGGCUAACUACGUGCCAGCCGCCGCGGUAAGAC
rnacentral:rRNA from 1 species